ACAGCAGUAGCCACGGGAAUACGAAGGGUGCAAGCGUUACUUGGAAUUACUGGGCGUAAAGCGUGUGUAGGUGGUUGUUUAAGUCUGUCGUGAAAGCCCUGGGCUCAACCUGGGAAUUGCGAUGGAUACUGGGCGACUAGAGUGCGGUAGAGGAUAGUGGAAUUUCCGGUGUAGCAGUGAAAUGCGUAGAGAUCGGAAGGAACAUCUGUGGCGAAGGCGACUAUCUGGGCCAACACUGACACUGAGACACGAAAGCGUGGGGAGCAAACAGGAUUAGAUACCCGAGUAGUCCCUGUCUCUUAUAA
rnacentral:rRNA from 1 species